CUCUGGAAGAAGAUCGUGAUAAAGAAUUACUUGAAAACUGAUCUAACCAAUUCAAAGUCCUACUCAGGAACUUUAAGAGACUACAAAGACUGAACAAAAUGAUUUUAAGGAUUACUAUAGUGGUUCGAAUAGGAUCCAGAGUCACCAGAAGACAAACCCGAGUAUGCCUGAUUCUAGACUGGAUUCAGGAAGUGAGAAGACCCACCCUGAAUAUGGGCUGCAUCACAUCAUGGGCUCAGGUCCCAAGCUGAAUAAAGGAGGAAGAGAAAGUGAGCUAAGCACCCCCACUCAUUUCUCUCUCUGGGGACUGGAUGGGAGGUGACCAAACAGCCUCCUGUUCCCGCUGUCAUCUUCCCAUGAUGGACUACAGGCUCCAAAGUCAGCCAAAAUAAACUUUCCCUCCUUUAUGAUA